rnacentral:rRNA from 1 species
GUUACAGCAGCCGCGGUAAGACGAACCGCGCGAACGUUGUUCGGAAUCACUGGGCUUAAAGGGCGCGUAGGCGGGCUGUCAAGUCUGGGGUGAAAUCCCGCGGCUCAACCGUGGAACUGCCUCAGAUACUGACGGCCUCGAGGGAGGUAGGGGCGAGCGGAACUGUGAGUGGAGCGGUGAAAUGCGUUGAUAUUCACAGGAACUCCGGUGGCGAAGGCGGCUCGCUGGACCUUUUCUGACGCUGAGGCGCGAAAGCUAGGGGAGCAAACGGGAUUAGAAACCCGGGUAGUCC